rnacentral:misc_RNA from 1 species
CUAGAAGCUUCCACGAUCCUAGAUUGCCCUCCAUUUCCCCAAUUUUGUGUUCUCUUUCCAAAUUAGGGUUUCCCUCUGCCUCGUAUCCCAAGUCCACCAUUUCUUGGGCCUUCUAAAACUUAAACUCCCUCGUCCCUCUCUCUUUAUCUUUUGGUUCCCUUUGAAUUCCCCUCAAAAUCAAAUUGUAGACGAGAAUCCUAAGCGGAGCUAACAUAGCUUCGAAUCCCAUCGACUAUGGCGGAGCACUUGGCUUCAAUUUUCGGCACGGAGAAAGACCGUGUUAACUGCCCAUUCUACUUCAAGAUCGGGGCAUGCCGCCAUGGAGAUCGUUGCUCCCGUCUCCACAAUCGCCCCACAAUAUCCCCAACACUCCUCCUGUCCAACAUGUAUCAGCGCCCCGACAUGAUCACCCCGGGCGUUGACGCCCAGGGUCAGCCCAUCGACCCCCAAAAGAUCCAGGAACACUUUGAGGACUUCUACGAAGACAUCUUCGAAGAACUGGGCAAGUUUGGUGAGAUCGAGAGCCUCAACGUCUGCGAUAACCUCGCUGACCAUAUGAUCGGCAACGUCUAUGUCCAGUUCAGGGAGGAGGAGCAGGCUGCCGCUGCAUUGCAAGCACUACAGGGCCGAUUCUACUCCGGUCGCCCGAUUAUUGCUGAUUUUUCACCUGUCACUGAUUUCCGUGAAGCUACGUGCAGACAGUAUGAGGAAAAUAAUUGCAACCGUGGGGGUUACUGUAAUUUCAUGCACGUGAAGUUGAUUGGUAGAGAUUUGAGGAGGAAACUGUUUGGAAGGUACCGAGGAUACAGAGUUAGUAGGAGCCGAAGCAGAAGCAUGAGUCCAAGGCACAGGAGGGAUAGGGAUAAUGAUAGGCGAGAGAAGGAUUAUCGGGACCGAGACCGUGAUUACCGUGGGAAUGGGCGUAGGAGCGGCGACAGGCAUGACAGGUAUGACAGGGAUGGUGCUAGAAGAAGACACGGUAGUCCCAGGCGGAGCAGGAGCCCAGUCAGGGAAGGGAGUGAAGAACGCAGAGCCAGGAUUGAACAAUGGAACAGAGAGAGGGAGGAGAAGCAGUGAGGGGACCGAGUUGGGUUGUUCCUACUGAGUAGUUCUUUUGUCAAUUUCUCUUAUUGGUAAUGUUUCUAAGCUCAGAUGUUUGGUUUAUGCUCCUUGAAACGCUGGAAAUCUGACACUUGAUGGCUUUCAUUUGAAGGACUGGAACUAUUUUUGUUGCUAGGAUGGUGAUGUUGUUAAUUCUGUCAGUUAGAAGUGGUAGUUUAGCAUAGUAUUUUUUUUCCCCUGCCUUGUUGGGUUCAAGGUGCUUCAAUCUUACUAAAAUUGCUUAUGAUCAUUUUGUUGUGUAUUGUUUUUGUUGUCUUAGUAUCUGGUUGUCUUAUAUAUGUCUCUUUCCAUGAUGCUGCAUUAUGUAUAAGUUCUGCUGGCGAUGCACUUAUAUUUUUUUCCUUUGCAUAAUUGUGUCGAUAGGCUUGCUGAUGAUAGAAUUUAUGUCUAGGGCAGCUAGAGUAAGAUUGGAUGCCCAUAUUUCUUUCCUUUUCAUUUCCUAUAACAUAAUCAAAAGUAAGUCUGGCAUUGAUGUUGUUGUGGCUGUUGAAAAAAAAUAUUAUCUUGAAUAGAUUAAUUUAAGGCAAUUGAAGAUUGUGUUUAAUAUCAAACAGACAUGAGUUAGAUUGAGCCCAAGGCCAAGUGAGCAUUUCUGCUGUAGUACUGUGUAGGUAUUGUAAGUGGGCUUUACGUACAUGUUGGAAUUCUCUACUUAUGUAUUAAAGUCAUUUAUUAAACUUUAUUUGGUCAUCCUGUUGGUUUGAUUUGAUCUAUUAUGAUUUAUGAGGCAUGCUUAUUGCUUAAUGGUUGCUUUUCUUGGGGCUUUUUAAAUUCAAGUUACUUUCUACUUCCAUGUACUAAUUAUCUCUAUGAAAGGGAUACAAGAGGUUGAUUCAUUAGUGAAAAAACAUUUGGUUAGAAUGGCUUCUCUUAUCAUUUUCUUUUAGUGGUAGGUGACCCAAGAGCUGGCUGGGGAACAGAAUUAGAAUCUAAGAAAGAAAGCUUAUGAACUUCAUGCCAUGAAUGUAGAUAAAUUAAAGCUGCCUCAGGUUAGAGUUUCUUUUUGACCCAGUACUUUGAGUUCAAAGCAGUUUUGGAGAUUCUGCUUAUUUUCUAUUGGGAAUUUGUGUUCCAGGAAAAACAAGAAAUUCUCAUUUCAGUCAUUUGGCAGUAGGAAGGUGUUGGUAAAUAAGAUGACUUAUCAUAUGGAUUGUAUAGUAUAGUAGUGGUUGAUUCUGUCUGGAUUUGGUUUUCUAUGGUUGGGAAAAGAUUUCAGUACACUAUAACAGGAAAGCUUCAUUUUUUUUAGUUUGAUCUUGGGAGAGAUUUUUUAAGACUAAUUUUAGGUUAAUACUUUGCUAUGAUAUGGAAAUGAACAAUAUAGCCUGUUCAAGUGGAGAUGCAGCCAAGCUAGGCAACUUGAGGUUUAUGUGACUUGCUACUGCCUAUGAGUCCUCCUCAUCUCUUGAAUAAUAUACUGAUGUGCUUGUGUUGAGUGUUUCUAAAACUUUUUAAAAGAUUAAAUAUACAGGAAUAGUGUUGGGAUUGAAAGAUGAUAUUUGUUGUACAUAGGAACACUACCCAUCUCUAGGUAGUUGUAUGAGGAAAUGAUAAUUUAGCUGCAAAGAUAGAAGCCGGAGAUUGGCCAAAAAAACCUCUUCUCUUUCUCAAGGAGAAAAUAAAGAGAAAGGAAAAAAUAAAGAGAAAGGAAAAAAAGCAGAAGUCACAUCUGCUUCCUAGGGAAAGUAAGUAAGCAAAUUUCUUGGAAAGUUCUUUCGAUAAGGGAGUCGGGAUAGUAGAUAGAGGACCAGGAUAAGCUAGGGCCAGUUCCUGGGUAAAGAAAGGUAACAGCAGGGAAUAUGGAAGAGUUAAGCUUUUGUAAUAAUCAAAAACAAAAAUAGUCUUUUAACUCUGCCCAUCUUUAGGUAGUUUUUUGUGGUUUAAAAAUCUAUUAGAUUAGCUAUGGGAUGUUACGAACUUUUUACUUUGGUUUUCUUAUGCAGUUGAGUCUCCUGUUGUCAAGUGUCAGGGUAUUGCCUUAUUGCUGAUGUGUGAAACAUGCCACAUAAUUUAGCAGAUUUUUUUUUUGAGGUUUUAGGGAGCUUUGUAAUAUCAUGAUUUCCAUCUUUGUUCUUGCUUAUUUUGAAAUUGAGGUUUCAAAGGAAUUCAGGACUCCCCAUUCAUUGAUAACUCUGUGUGCUGUUCACCACUCUCAGUGUUCUGAUUGGACCAGCAACAAGCGCAAGUUCUUUAGCAUUUUUGUUGUUAAAUAGUGAGGGAAUUGCUUCAGCCAUCAAAUAGAAGACUAAAAGUCUUUGUGAUACAACCAAAGUAUGACCUGGGAUCUGAAAGUUCUGUGCUCUACUAACUGUAGGGAGUAUGAUCAUACUUUAUUGCCUUUUUUUUUCCCUUGCGCUAGACAAAGUGAUACUAUUGCUUUCUUUGCUAAUGACUUGUUCGGCUAUGCUUCUAGGAUCAAUUUUUGGAUCUCUGAAUUGGCUAGAUGAACGCAAUGGUUGUCAGAAAAAAGGUCAUAUUGCCCUGUCAGUCUAUUGAAUUUGAAUUUGUAUCAUCACUCUAUUCUCCUCCCGAAAUUAAAUUGUUUAUUGGUAUGGAAUGUGAUGGAAUAGGUUUUUCCUUUUCCUGUGAAAAAGGAUGGUUUUCAGUAUCUUAGUGCAAGUGAUAUUACAAGGGGAAUGUUGGUCGUUGGCCCAAUGUUUCAAAGUUCAGUCUGUUGAGCUGCUCACGUGUCAGUACCUGCUUUUUGUUUCCGUAACCCUGAAUUCAGUUUCAGCUUGCUGGUGAUUUGUUGAGCGUUGUAUGAUUAGAGGACAGCUAUUUGCAAUGGCAUUGGUGGUCAUUAGGCUCAAUGCAAUAUGUGUGUGUG